rnacentral:rRNA from 1 species
GACGAACGCUGGCGGCGUGCUUAACACAUGCAAGUCGAGCGGUAAGGCCCUUUCGGGGGUACACGAGCGGCGAACGGGUGAGUAACACGUGGGUGACCUGCCCUUAGCUCUGGGAUAAGCCUGGGAAACUGGGUCUAAUACCGGAUAUGACUCCAUGACGCAUGUUGUGGGGUGGAAAGCCUUGUGCGGCUAGGGAUGGGCCUGCGGCCUAUCAGCUUGUUGGUGGGGUGAUGGCCUACCAAGGCGACGACGGGUAGCCGGCCUGAGAGGGCGACCGGCCACACUGGGACUGAGACACGGCCCAGACUCCUACGGGAGGCAGCAGUGGGGAAUCUUGCGCAAUGGGCGAAAGCCUGACGCAGCGACGCCGCGUGGGGAUGACGG